GCCCAACGCCUCUUCCAGGACCCUCACGGCGGAGCUGGGCAUCCCUCGCUGAGCAGCCAUCUCUGGCGCUUCGGGCCCCCACCCCCAGCAGGCCCACAGCCGUCCCUAAGGGCAACAGCGAAGACGCUACCCAACGGCCCCCGGGAGCUCUCGCGAGAUUCCGGCAUCUCUCACCCCGCCCCACGGACCAGCCCCGGGCACGUAAGGGUUACCGGGAGUCCAGGGAGCUGUCGCCCUCCCGCGCCUCCCAGUUACCGUGGCAACGAUGUUGCCUAGUUAACGCGAGAGCUCGGGCGCAGCUCUGGGAGCGGACAAGAUACAGUAAACAAUUGGCUUGCAUUGCACCUUCCUACCCAAGCAGCUUGGUUUUCUUUCGCUUUGACCCUGUAAUUUCUUUCCCACUUCGUUGUCGUCUCUGAAUUACCUUUCUCUUGAUUCUUGCCCAUUAGCAUCCUCCAAUUUCAGAUGUUUGUAGAUCCCCAAGUGUUCCCAGGGAAAACUACUAGAAAAGGCACUAUCUAUGGACUGAGAAGAGAAGGACUUUAAAACAGUGGUAAAGAAAGCAACAAAGACAAUGACUGGCAAGACAGAAGAAUUGUGCAGAGAAAGAGGAACACUGUGACCCGAUCAAGGACGAAAUGAUUCCCAACCUCCUUAGAGCCUUGCUGGUGCCGAGAUGUCUGUGAUCAUCAGUCACCUCUUCAUCCCAACUCCCUUCUAUUCCCCCCACCCUUAACAUAAAAAGAGCCUGAAAUGUGUACUGACUUAUUUUAGGAUGCAAGUCCACCAUCUUCUUGGUUUACUGGCUUUCCAAAUAAACUGGUUGUUUCUCCCACCAA
ensembl:lncRNA SPAG16-DT SPAG16 divergent transcript